GACGAACGCUGGCGGCGUGCUUAACACAUGCAAGUCGAACGGAAAGGCCCUGCUUUUGUGGGGUGCUCGAGUGGCGAACGGGUGAGUAACACGUGAGUAACCUGCCCUUGACUUUGGGAUAACUUCAGGAAACUGGGGCUAAUACCGGAUAGGAGCUCCUGCUGCAUGGUGGGGGUUGGAAAGUUUCGGCGGUUGGGGAUGGACUCGCGGCUUAUCAGCUUGUUGGUGGGGUAGUGGCUUACCAAGGCUUUGACGGGUAGCCGGCCUGAGAGGGUGACCGGCCACAUUGGGACUGAGAUACGGCCCAGACUCCUACGGGAGGCAGCAGUGGGGAAUAUUGCACAAUGGGCGGAAGCCUGGUGCAGCAACGCCGCGUGCGGGAUGAAGGCCUUCGGGUUGUAAACCGCUUUCGCCUGUGACGAAGCGUGAGUGACGGUAAUGGGUAAAGAAGCACCGGCUAACUACGUG
rnacentral:rRNA from 1 species